UUGACGCGUUUGCACGAGCGAAUCGGCGCGUACGCGUUUUCUAAUCAAAAACAAAUUUCAGUUUUCGAGUCGAGUUUAUCGAGCGGAUUGCAAAUACAAAGCAAUAAAUUGUUUGACUAACAAAAUAAAAAAUUUAUAAAAAAAAAAAAAUUCAAAAGUAUAACGGUGUACAAAUAAAUACUAGCACCCGCAUGUGCUGUGUUGUUAUUGUUGUUAAUGAUACUGGUGUGCAGAUUUAAGCCUGAAGACGAAGUCUGCAAAAUAAAUCAUAAAUAAUCAGUAAAGCAAAAACAGCAAAGUGGAAAAUGCAUUCGGCAAUGAUAAACCCCCAUUUUAGGUUCACCAAGCAAAUUUUGUAUAAAAAAGUGUCUCAAAGUGAUUCACAUCAGCAUUCGCAGUGAAAUUGUGGAAAAAUAUUUGGCAUAAAGCAAUAAACUUAGUAAGCCAAAGAAGUUUUCAACUUUGCACUUUCGGUUGCUCAACCGAACUGCAAAACCAAAAAAGAAAUACAAAUUUAAAAUUCAACGAAACUGGAUUCCGCCAUCGUGGAUACUAUCAGCCAUUUGAAAAUGGUCUUUGGUGGCCGUUUUCGCAUCAGAAGCUAUUUAUGGAUGUAUUGGAAAUGGAAAGAAAUGAUAAAAAGAAAGGACAGAGUCUGGGUUUUGAG